rnacentral:rRNA from 1 species
GCCAACGAUCAUACUACUUUGAAAGCAGCGCAUCCCGUCAGAUCUGCGAAGCUAAGGAACGUUAGGCUGAGCUAGUACUACCGUUGGGGACAACGUGGGAACACUCAGUUUCGCAGGCC